rnacentral:rRNA from 1 species
GACGAACGCUGGCGGCGUGCUUAACACAUGCAAGUCGAACGGAAAGGCCCUGCUUUUUUGGGGUGCUCGAGUGGCGAACGGGGGAGUAACACGUGAGUAACCUGCCCUUGACUUUGGGAUAACUUCAGGAAACUUGGGCUAAUACCGGAUAGGAGCUCCUGCUGCAUGGUGGGGGUUGGAAAGUUUCGGCGGUUGGGGAUGGACUCGCGGCUUGUCAGCUUGUUGGUGGGGUAGUGGCUUACCAAGGCUUUGACGGGUAGCCGGCCUGAGAGGGUGACCGGCCACAUUGGGACUGAGAUACGGCACAGACUCCUACGGGAGGCAGCAGUGGAGAAUAUUGCACAAUGGGCGGAAGCCUGAUGCAGCAACGCCGCGUGCGGGAUGACGGCCUUCGGGUUGUAAACCGCUUUCGCCUGUGACGAAGCGUGAGUGACGGUAAUGGGUAAAGAAGCACCGGCUAACUACGUG